rnacentral:rRNA from 1 species
GAUGAACGCUAGCUACAGGGCUUAACACAUGCAAGUCGAGGGGAAACGACAUCGGAAGCUUGCUUUUGAUGGGCGUCGACCGGCGCACGGGUGAGUAACGCGUAUCCAACCUGCCCACCACUUGGGGAUAACCUUGCGAAAGUAAGACUAAUACCCAAUGACGUCUCUAGAAGACAUCUGAAAGGGAUUAAAGAUUUAUCGGUGAUGGAUGGGGAUGCGUCUGAUUAGCUUGUUGGCGGGGUAACGGCCCACCAAGGCGACGAUCAGUAGGGGGUUCUGAGAGGAAGGUCCCCCACAUUGGAACUGAGACACGGUCCAAACUCCUACGGGAGGCAGCAGUGAGGAAUAUUGGUCAAUGGGCGAGAGCCUGAACCAGCCAAGUAGCGUGCAGGAAGACGGCCCUAUGGGUUGUAAACUGCUUUUAUAGGGGAAUAAAGUGAGCCACGUGUGGUUUUUUGCAUGUACCCUAUGAAUAAGGACCGGCUAAUUCCGUG